rnacentral:rRNA from 1 species
GAUGAACGCUGGCGGCGUGCCUAAUACAUGCAAGUCGAGCGAACGGACGAUAAGCUUGCUUCUCUGAUGUUAGCGGCGGACGGGUGAGUAACACGUGUAUAACCUACCUAUAAUACUGGGAUAACUUCGGGAAACCGGAGCUAAUACCGGAUGAUAUUUUGAACCGCAUGGUUCAAAAGUGAAAUACGGUCUUGCUGUCACUUAUAGAUGGAUCCGCGCUGCAUUGGCUAGUUGGUAAGGUAACGGGUUACCAAGGCAACGAUGCCUAGCCGACGUGAGAGGGUGAUAGGCCACACUGGAAGUGAGCCACGGUCCAGACUACUACGGGAGGCAGCAGUAGGGAAUCUUAGGCAAUGGGCGAAAGCAUUACGGAGCAACGCCGCGUGAGUGAUGAAGGUCUUCGGAUCGUAAAACUCUGUUAUUAGGGAAGAACAUAUGUGUAAGUAACUGUGCACAUCUUGACGGUACCUAAUAAGAAAGCAACGGCUAACUACGUG